rnacentral:rRNA from 1 species
UACGUAGGCAGCGAGCGUUGUUCGGAAUUACUGGGCGUAAAGGGCUCGUAGGCGGCCAACUAAGUCAGACGUGAAAUCCCUCGGCUUAACCGGGGAACUGCGUCUGAUACUGGAUGGCUUGAGUUCGGGAGAGGGAUGCGGAAUUCCAGGUGUAGCGGUGAAAUGCGUAGAUAUCUGGAGGAACACCGGUGGCGAAGGCGGCAUCCUGGACCGAUACUGACGCUGAGGAGCGAAAGCCAGGGGAGCAAACGGG